rnacentral:rRNA from 1 species
AUGCUGACAUAAGUAACGAUAAAGCGGGUGAAAAGCCCGCUCGCCGGAAGACCAAGGGUUCCUGUCCAACGUUAAUCGGGGCAGGGUGAGUCGACCCCUAAGGCGAGGCCGAAAGGCGUAGUCGAUGGGAAACAGGUUAAUAUUCCUGUACUUGGUGUUACUGCGAAGGGGGGACGGAGAAGGCUAUGUUGGCCGGGCGACGGUUGUCCCGGUUUAAGCGUGUAGGCUGGUUUUCCAGGCAAAUCCGGAAAAUCAAGGCUGAGGCGUGAUGACGAGGCACUACGGUGCUGAAGCAACAAAUGCCCUGCUUCCAGGAAAAGCCUCUAAGCAUCAGGUAACAUCAAAUCGUACCCCAAACCGACACAGGUGGUCAGGUAGAGAAUACCAAGGCGCUUGAGAGAACUCGGGUGAAGGAACUAGGCAAAAUGGUGCCGUAACUUCGGGAGAAGGCACGCUGAUAUGUAGGUGAAGUCCCUCGCGGAUGGAGCUGAAAUCAGUCGAAGAUACCAGCUGGCUGCAACUGUUUAUUAAAAACACAGCACUGUGCAAACACGAAAGUGGACGUAUACGGUGUGACGCCUGCCCGGUGCCGGAAGGUUAAUUGAUGGGGUUAGCCGCAAGGCGAAGCUCUUGAUCGAAGCCCCGGUAAACGGCGGCCGUAACUAUAACGGUCCUAAGGUAGCGAAAUUCCUUGUCGGGUAAGUUCCGACCUGCACGAAUGGCGUAAUGAUGGCCAGGCUGUCUCCACCCGAGACUCAGUGAAAUUGAACUCGCUGUGAAGAUGCAGUGUACCCGCGGCAAGACGGAAAGACCCCGUGAACCUUUACUAUAGCUUGACACUGAACAUUGAGCCUUGAUGUGUAGGAUAGGUGGGAGGCUUAGAAGUGUGGACGCCAGUCUGCAUGGAGCCGACCUUGAAAUACCACCCUUUAAUGUUUGAUGUUCUAACGUUGACCCGUAAUCCGGGUUGCGGACAGUGUCUGGUGGGUAGUUUGACUGGGGCGGUCUCCUCCUAAAGAGUAACGGAGGAGCACGAAGGUUGGCUAAUCCUGGUCGGACAUCAGGAGGUUAGUGCAAUGGCAUAAGCCAGCUUGACUGCGAGCGUGACGGCGCGAGCAGGUGCGAAAGCAGGUCAUAGUGAUCCGGUGGUUCUGAAUGGAAGGGCCAUCGCUCAACGGAUAAAAGGUACUCCGGGGAUAACAGGCUGAUACCGCCCAAGAGUUCAUAUCGACGGCGGUGUUUGGCACCUCGAUGUCGGCUCAUCACAUCCUGGGGCUGAAGUAGGUCCCAAGGGUAUGGCUGUUCGCCAUUUAAAGUGGUACGCGAGCUGGGUUUAGAACGUCGUGAGACAGUUCGGUCCCUAUCUGCCGUGGGCGCUGGAGAACUGAGGGGGGCUGCUCCUAGUACGAGAGGACCGGAGUGGACGCAUCACUGGUGUUCGGGUUGUCAUGCCAAUGGCACUGCCCGGUAGCUAAAUGCGGAAGAGAUAAGUGCUGAAAGCAUCUAAGCACGAAACUUGCC